rnacentral:rRNA from 1 species
AACGAACGCUGGCGGCAUGCCUAACACAUGCAAGUCGAACGAGACCUUCGGGUCUAGUGGCGCACGGGUGCGUAACGCGUGGGAACCUUCCCUUAUGUUCGGAAUAACUCCCCUAAAGGGGUGCUAAUACCGGAUAAUUUCUUCUGACCAAAGAUUUAUCGCCUUUGGAUGGGCCCGAGUUGUUUUAGCUUGUUGGUAGGGUAAAAGCCUACCACGGCGACGAUCCAUAGCUGGUCUGAGAGAAUGAGCAGCCACACUGGGGCUGAGACACGGCCCAGACUAUUACGCGAGGCAGCAGUGGCGGAUACAGCAAAAUCGGGGAAAUCAUGAACGCGCAAGGCUGCGUAAGUGCUGAAGGUGUGAGAGAUGUAAAGCUCUUUUAUCCGGGACGAUACUGACAGUACCGAGAGAAUAAGCUCCGGCUAACUCCGUG